CCUGGGUCCCUGUGCCCGCGGGGCCUCGGGUCGGGGCUGGGCCCGAUCCUGCCCUGAGGGGAUCCAGAACCCGAGGAAGCCAGUGAAAGACACUUCAUAUGCUUGUGCCUCUUUUUGCCCUGGGAAUGUCACAGCUCCUCAGGGCAGAAAGGUUUUCCCACUGGCAUCUUCUGUGGAGAGUAAAUCUCCAUCAUAAACCACUUUCUAAGCAGCUGAGCAGGACAGGGGAUGAGAGCAUAUUUUAGAGCUUUUCUCCUUGUUGUUGAAAGUGCAAAAUAAGCCCAAUGAAAGCAUCCAGAGCCUGGUGGACAAAUGGAUACCCCUGGGCUGACUCUUCUGCAGCUGAUGAAGGAUGGCCAAGGACUGUUGGUUCUAUGAUUUAAAGCUUUGCCUGUGUAUUUAAAGCCAUUUUGACAUGUCUGGACAUAACCCUUGACAGAGCUCUUUGGAAAAUAUCCCCUCCUUGCCACUUGCUGUUAAAGCAGAGAAGUCUCUGGAUACUCCAAUCUCCUUCUGAGGAUUGGCCAUGGCAAGAUUGAGGACAGAAAGCAGUUUUUGGAGGAGACACUGCUGCUCCCAGGUGUGCAGCACAGCAUGGAUGCUCUGCCAGCUGGGAGUGCUUGGACCCCAUUUACAGCUGGCAAACUUUGAAGAAAUAAAAUAAAAUACCUUUUGUAACAUUA